GUUCUCUGCAUGAUUUCUGCAAGGAGAAGAGACAGGAAGAGGAAAUUUGGAAAGGUAUUACUCAAUCCUUCUCUCAGGUCCUCGUCACAGCCAUGCCCAGCCCAGCUCUCUGCCAGGCAGUAUAUAUGAGCCACUGUCUCCACUGAAGUCACACACCUUUGCACACUGAUAAACAACAAACAGCAGCAGAGAGUUGGAUUGAUUUUACAGAGGAUUUAAAAGAAUUUAUAAACUACAGACCAGAAAGUGACAGCAAUCAAUCAGAAAUGGAACUUCUGAAAACCGCCCUCGUCAUCGCCCUUCUUACAACAACAUCUGCCAAGCCAAUGGCUUUCAGAAGGCAUCAUGAUGCCGAUAUCCCCGACCACAAAAUCCAACAUUAUCACCACAGGUUCACUGGGGAUGCUUUCAACUCCAUGAGCUCCAGCGAAUCUUCAGAAAGUCAAUCAUCUGAGGAGGGGGGGUUGUCCUCUGAGGAGAUUAUCGAUCCCGAAGUGACCACGCCAGUCACGACCUCUACUGCGAUGACAACUGUUGAAGAGGGGAGUACAGUCCCUCCUGAAGUAAGCACAAUGGGUACUGACCAACCAAUUGUGAUGAAGACGACGCCCCUUCCAGCAACGCCAACCCCAUCUGUCAAUGCCACACCAACAUGCGAUCAGUGCUUUACGGUGCUGAUUCCAACAGCAGCUCCCAUUACUGACAACAGAGGAGACAACUGAGCAACAGUCAGACAACGAGAGCCAUAUUGUUGAACAAAUGUUUGACUUUAGUGAGCCGCCUGUGGACACUUUCUAUCCAAUUUAGAAAAUUUUUUUUCCCAGUUUGCUUUUUUUAUAUAAAUUAUUUUGCUUGUAUUUAAAAAUGGCUUUAAAAAAGAAGUGCUUAUGCACUGGUUUGAUGGGUAUCGGAUCAUCACAAUCAGAACUCUGCUUUGCAUGUUGCAGUAACUUAGAAAGACAGCAAUAAAACAUUGGUUUACACUGAGAAACAUUGGACAUAUACAAUAAAAUCUGAUUCUUUAAAACGUGUACAGAAUGAGAAGUGCCAAUAGGAUGCUGAAUUAUUUUGAAUCCAUUUUUUUCCCUUAAAGAAGUAACAGAGGUUGUGUUACCUUUUAACUCCCCCUUUUUAGCAUGCAAUCAGCAGAAUUAAGAGACAUCUUAAAUUUAGAAGUCUAAAUAACAGGGCAGAGAAUGUGAUGGCAUGAUGAUAAGGCAAUACUUUCUUAAAGCCAAUUUUAAAUUAACAUUAGAGACAUUGCAGAGUUACAAAAAGCAAAGUGUGUGAAGUCUGGUUCAAAUGGAUGAUUUCACUCAUGCUUACUAGUACUGUGAACUGUCAGUAAAGAAAAUGUUUCUUUAUAUGUGUGUGUGUGUGUGUGUGUGCUACUAAAUGUAUAUUUAGACGAAUUUUUAAUCUUUCACUGCUGUUUAGUCCUAUGAAAUGGAGUGGAUGACCUGCAGUUUUUAGGUAAAAGCUAUUGCUUCAUAGCAUAUUUCAUACAAACAAAAGCACUUAAAUAUUUAAUUAUAUUAAAUGAAAAUACUCUGUUUGCAUGUUUAUUGCAGCUUUGAGGACAAUUCUUACAAUGUGUUAAAAUUAACUUCAGGUUUUCUGGAAAGAUCUGCUGAUAUGUUGGAAGUGUAAAGAUAUGUGGCCAAGCAGAAAAAACAUCCAAGGCAAGCGAUGGUUACUGAUUAAAUUUUACAAAACAACAACAAAAGGUUAUUACUCUUCGUGAGGUAUCCAGAAUAUGUAUCCCACAGCAGUGUGUUUAUAGACUGGGGAGGGUGUGUCGCGUCAGGUCUUGUCUGUACAUGCUGGUGAGUCCUUACCACAGUGGGGUUCUGUAAUUGCACGCUAUAAAUGUACAUGUUCACAGAUUAAAUGUAGAACAGAGAGGCAAAAGAAGACCUAAAUGUUGCUGAUUGUUACUGUUUUAUACUGCUUUGGACUUGUUUGGACCUAAUAUGCCUGAUUAUACAACAACUGCUGUUUUUUUUUUUCUAAUAAAGAAAAAAAAUCCAUACAGAAUAAAAAAAAUAUGGUCAUAUUUAUAUCAUCAUUUAAUUCUUAAAUUAAACGUUUUAGGCAGGUGAGCUAUAAAUAAAGAAUGAUUUCAAAAA